AUCUCUCUGUAUCUAUCUGUCUCCAUAAAACCCCACUUAGAACCUCUCCAUACAAACCAAAAAGAGAGAAAAGAAACGAAAACCCAUCAAGGAAAAUUGAAAACAAGAACUGGGUCUGUCUCGGAAAUGGCGACCGGCACUGUUUUCUCCUUGAUCAUCAACAUGCUUUUUGUCCUCUUACUGUUAUCUUCUUCCUCCUCGAAUGUCGCCACGGCAGGGAGGGAUAUACCCUCUAGUGUUCCGAGCACCAUGAGGCCAUUAUCAGUCGAUUACGUCAAGAUGAAUCCUCGCCUGAACCCCGGCCACCGACCGGUUUUCCACGAGAAGGAAGUGAAGAGUUGCUUGCCGAAAGGGUUGAGGAAGUCAUCGGCACCGAGCCGGGACGUAAAUUAUGAGCCGCUUGGUUCAGCCAGGUGCUCGCCGAGCAACGACAAGGUGCACCAUGGGAAGCCUUGAAUUGAAGAGAAAGAAUUAUGAACUCUUGAGGUUUUAUAACUAUAUGUACUGUUCUUUUUGUAUAUGUUCCAUGUCCAAUGGGAAUUUUUCUUCUUUUUUUUUUUUUCCCUUCAUUUUUUUCUUUCAAUUUUGUUCUUUUCUUUCUUUUUUCAGGCAAAUUAGAAUUAAGGGUGUGUUUGUUUGAUUACUCAUGUUUGGAACAAGUUACAAAAUUUGUAGGAUUCAAUUACGAAUUUGCAAUUAUAGUUAUAUAAAUUCUACAAUAAGAUGGUGAAAGUUGAGCAUGUAUUAUUUCCUUGUACGAAAUUUCCCUUCUAAUUGAAAGGAUCCGCCUAUCAAGAUUUUAAAUGCUUCAUUCUAAUUUUACUUGACAUUUUCAUAUGGUAGGAAAGCAUUUUUCCUACAAUUCAAGUUUUUUGUGGUAAAGUUUUAUAAUUAAACAUUAUUUCUUUAGAAUGACUAAUGGGUAUUUGUAAAUUUACUCGAUUUUUUUCCUUUUAAAAAGAAAAGAGAGAAUUUUGGUAGGCUCCAAAAACAGGGGAGAAAAAAGUUUGAACUUUUGAACCAAUGACAUGUAGGUAUCAAUGAACAAAU
rnacentral:lncRNA from 1 species